rnacentral:rRNA from 1 species
AUGCAGCCAAAGCUACAGCAGCCGGACGUCCGGCCUCCAACACGAACGUCCGACGUGACUCUGGACGGUCCAGCUUCUAGGCUGGAUGUCCGAUAUGACGGGACCGUGACAUCAGUACAAAAAUCGUUAAGUCGGACGAAGUUGCUCUCUGACUUUACGUCCGGCCUCAACCCGAACAGUCCGAUCCAAGAUCUUCUUGCUCAUGCUGCUCUUACUGAUGAGCGCAUUGUUGAGUCUCCCAUGGAGCUCGUUCACCUUCGUGCUUCUGAUGGUGAUCCCUUGUCUGAUCCGACACGUUAUUGUCACCUUGUUGGGAGUUUUGUCUAUCUAAUUGUCACUCGUCCGGAUAUCUUCUAUCCUGUCCAUAGUUUGAGUCAGUUUGUUCCUGCUCCCACUUCGGCUCACUAUAGUCACCUUCUUCAUGUUCUACGAUGUCUUCAUGGCACGAUCUCUCACCGUCAUUCUUUCCGCGCUCCAGUUCGUUACAGCUUCAGGCCUAUUUGGAUCCUACGUGGGCUAGUGAUCCCUCGGAUCGCCGUUCACUUUCUGCUUACUUGUUUUCUUGGUGGUUCUCUCAUUGCCUGGAGGCGAAGAAACAGACUGCAGUUUCCAUUCAAGUGCAGAGGCUGA